rnacentral:lncRNA from 1 species
UCAUAAAAUGGGUCAGAGCUUUUAUAUUAAGUGUUCCGUUUUGGAUCCUGUUACCUCUCACUCUCUCCGGUGCCAUGGAAUCCCGUAGCCCCCAAAGUUUUAUUCUCUCCGUUUCUGAAAUCAUCGCAAGGGAACUAUAAAUGCAACUACCAAACCUCGCAGUGCUUCCUUCUCACGCCUUCUGUGAGUUUUCCUCUCUUCCUCCUCCUCCGCUCUUCCGGUCGCCGGAUAAUUUCUCCGUCGAACUCACAGUUGCCGGAGAACCUACUAAUUCUCUUUUCCCUCUCUUUUCUUCUGUUCCACUGCAGAUUCCUUGUUCGUCGAAGAAGCUCUUUAUACACCGAAAUAUACCCUCAGAUAUCGCGUCUUCAACCGUUUAGGUUACAUUUUACGUGUAAUAAUUGGUCGUUUCCUUUUAUUGGAUCGAUUUUCCUUGUUGUAACCAUCGGUUGAAGAGAAAAAGAGAUUCUCCGCUGACGUUGAAGAAAUAUUAGUUUGCUGUGUUGUAGUUCGAAUUAAUAGUAAUAAUAAAGCGCGUAAGUGAUACAAAUAAUAAAAUAGAAAGAAAAUCAGAGUUGAAAAAUACCUAGUAGAAGAAGAUUUAGCGUCAUGUUGGAUCUUAAUCUGAAUGCCGACUCGACUCAGAGCCAAGACUCGGUGAUGC